GAAAAAUGUAUGGAUGUGAGAACCCAUUUCAUGAUGUCGGCAACGUCAACACCGUCAUCGACAUGAUGUGGACUCGACUUUCCUACCCAUCACUUGCGAUUGACCUUAGACGCUGUCGCGAUGGAGCUGCAAAAGAAAUAGAAGCAGGAUACUCCAACUCCGGGGACUUCGAUAGCGUGGGUAACAUUUUUCUUUACCUUCUUCUCAUUUGGGGGAAACUGUUGUUGCGCUUUAAUUUUUUU
rnacentral:lncRNA from 1 species